rnacentral:rRNA from 1 species
UACGGGGGGAGCAAGCGUUGUUCGGAUUUACUGGGCGUAAAGGGCGCGUAGGCGGCUCAACAAGUCACUUGUGAAAUCUCCGGGCUUAACCCGGAGAGGCCAAGUGAUACUGUCGUGCUAGAGUGCGGAAGGGGCUACUGGAAUUCUCGGUGUAGCGGUGAAAUGCGUAGAUAUCGAGAGGAACACCUGCGGCGAAGGCGGGUAGCUGGGCCGACACUGACGCUGAGGCGCGAAAGCCAGGGGAGCGAACGGG